CCUACGGGAGGCAGCAGUGGGGAAUAUUGGGCAAUGGAGGAAACUCUGACCCAGCAACGCCGCGUGAAUGAUGAAGGUCUUCGGAUUGUAAAGUUCUUUUCUAAGGGAAGAAGAAAGUGACGGUACCUUAGGAAUAAGCCUCGGCUAACUACGUGCCAGCAGCCGCGGUAAUACGAAGGGGGCAAGCGUUGUUCGGAAUUACUGGGCGUAAAGGGAGUGUAGGCGGUUUAGUAAGAUAGUGGCGAAAUCCCAGAGCUUAACUUUGGAAUUGCCAUUAUAACUAUUAGACUAGAAUUACAGAGAGGAUAGUGGAAUACCCAGUGUAGAGGUGAAAUUCGUAGAUAUUGGGUAGAACACCAGUGGCGAAGGCGACUAUCUGGCUGUACAUUGACGCUGAGGCUCGAAAGCAUGGGGAUCAAACAGGAUUAGAUACCCCAGUAGUC
rnacentral:rRNA from 1 species